rnacentral:misc_RNA from 1 species
AUUGGUACAAAAUUGACCGACUACGCAUGAACUUUACUUCAAUCUGCACAAUAUACUAGUUCAGUGACUUCAACUAAAAUAUAAAAACAACAGCAAAAUCGGAGAUAUGUUUAGCGUGAAGAUUGAUUAAAAUACCCAAUGGAUCUUGACCGUAUAUAAGGUUUGUUGACCCACAAAAAUAUAACACUUAUUUAAAUCUACAGAGAGAUUACGCGUGGCAGAGAGUCAACCAUCAUGGAGUCGGGAUCAAAGGAGGACUUGGCUUUAGUAUUAAAAAAUGCAAGGGCAAAUCAUCAGUUCUAUAGUCAACAACAGGCGCCCCUUCAACAAGAAGCAAAUGGAAAAGCAAAUUCUCAAAAUGGCGACGUAUAUGACGGAUACCAAAGCGAGGCUGAAACUCGCCGUAGCGACAACAGACCACAGACAUUUAAAACACAUCAUGAUGAGGACGAUCCUGAUAAAGAAGAUGUUCUUGGGAGUCUUUAUGAGAACGCGAUAUCUGAGGCAGGAUUUGGGAAGUUCCAGUGGACAUUGCUAUUCGUUCUUGGCCUUGGAAUAAUGGGAGACGGCAUAGAGUUGUAUGUGGUGGCGUUUAUUCUACCAGGAGCAGAGAAAGAUUUAUGUAUGACGUCAGCCAUGAAAGGAUGGUUAGGUUCAGUAGGUUUUGCCGGUAUGUUAGUCGGAAGUUUAGUGUGGGGCAGUAUUGCUGACCGGAUAGGAAGAAAACCUUCUCUCCUUCUCUCGCUCUCCAUUAAUGCCAUCUUUUCAUUAGUAUGCGCAUUCAUGCUGACCUUUGAACUGUUCGUCAUGUGCCGAUUUAUCUGUGGAUUCGGGAUUGGUGGAUCUAUUCCCAUAACCGUGGCAUAUUUCCUUGAAUUCUGCCCCCGACAGCGUAGAGGUCGGCACAUCGGGAUGCUCUUGUUAUGGUGGACAAUGGCAGGACUGUAUGUCUCGAUUGCCGCGUGGAUAAUCAUCCCAUAUAAAGAAUUAGCUUUCCAUAUAAUGGGAUCGGACUUUCAUAGCUGGAGAAUCUGCCUUAUAGUCUGUGCGAUCCCAUGCUUAGCCUCCGUCAUUGGACUAUUCUUUAUGCCCGAGAGUCCCAGGUAUCUCUUAGAGGUCGGAAAAGAUUUAAAGGCUCUCUCGGUGUUCCGCCAGGUAUACCUGUGGAAUCAUGCUGAAGACGACUCGGAUGACGAAUACGAAAUGCCAGAAAUUCGUAUCCCCAAUAACAUGCCUGCAUCGCCAUCUAUACAAAAUGAAAAAGCUAAAAACUGCUUUCAUGAUUGCCAGUCAAAGUUCAAAAAUAUUUGCAGUUCAUUCAGGGAUAUAUUUGGUUCGUCCCUUAUUGUAACCACACUCAUUCUUACUGUCACAUGGUCAGCACUGACCUUUGGGUAUUACGGGAUGACCAUUUGGUUCCCUGAAUACAUGAAAAAACUCCAAAUGGAGGCUUACUUCCGUACUACUGAAUAUACUGCUAACUCUACAGUCCUAGGUGCCAACUUCACCCAUCAAACAGACAAUAUGGAGUACGACAACGUCAUGUUUGAUCACGUGACUUUUUACAAUAUAAUCCUGACGCAUGUCACAUUUCAAAAUUGUACAUUUCUUAAUUGUAUAUUUAAAAAUGUCACAUCUGCAAAAACGUCAUUUCUUUCAUCAAGUUUAUACAAUGUGACUUUUACACACACAGACUUUGUGGAUGCACAGUUCCAAAACACGCACUCUCGGAAUGUUUAUUUUGCUGAAAACAUGACGGGAUGUGCUGUAGAUUUUGAUAUUAACUACAGCGCACGUCAGGUGUAUUUUGAAAACUUUCUCGGUCAGUUAGCUGUGUUACCUGGAGGACUUGUUGUUGCCUUCUUGGUCGACUUCGUCGGCAGAAUUAGGUUACUAGCUGGAUCCAUGUUCCUAUGCGGGAUAAGUGUGUUUUUUAUUUGGCUGUUGGACAGAGAGCUGGGGGUGGUCAUUUUGAACUGCGUCUUCAUGUUGCUUGGCAAUAUCAGUUGGAACACCCUCGAGAUCAUCAGUGGAGAACUCUAUCCUUCUAGAACGAGGGGAACAGGUUUGGGGUACUUGAGCUGUAUAUCCAGGGUAGCUGCUGUACUGGGAAAUGUGUCUUUUGGCAAUUUGAUCGAUAUUAGUAAGUUUAUACCUAUUUUGCUGACAGCAAGCGUCAUGGCUAUUGGAGGGCUCGUGUCUACCAAACUGACUGACUCCAGAGACAUCAUGAUAUAGGUAAUACCGUAUAUACCAUUGGAAAGUGAGAGUUACGUGUGCAAUAUCUCUAUUCAAAAGAAGACACCAACUUUUGGAAUUAUUACUGUAAGUCCGUAAUAAAUCAGAACCAGCAGAUGAAUCGUCGAAUGGUGUCAUGGUGUUAAAUGAAGACAUCAUUAGUUCGCUAGCGGAAUGUUAAGGUUAUGAGGUAUAUGAUUCCUUCCAUAAGAGACUAGAACUAUUGCUAUGAACUACAUGUAUGAACUACGUUGAUAUAGCCAGCAAAUGAACAAUAGAGGCCAUGACUAACUCUUGUAUUUAUACAUUCUGAGAUGAUGAUUUAUAUAUCAACAUUUGAGUAUGAACCAUAUACAGACAUUAGGAUGGAUAUAUGGUUAUUGAGAAUGGAUAGUAUUAUAAUUUUGAGAUUUUGUCACAUUUGAGAAUGUACGUAAUGUCAAAAUAAUUUUACAUUUUACAAAACAGACUGAGUGGUUUGCAGAAUGAUGCAAUGGAUAUUGAAAAUGAAUUACAACACAUGCAAUUAAAACAUCACAGGCAUUUACGAAGAUUUAACGCAUUUGCAGA